GGCAAGUUAAGAAUCCAAGGAACUCAUACUUUCUCCGACUGGUUUAGGUCAGAACGCUUUCGUGAGAGAAGUCAGAAGAUUCAUCACUCCUGAAGGAAAAAUCAGUCGUAUAAGCCACUCAUAACCCUAAAUCGACCAACUAACCCCGCUUGUCAUUAGCUUGUGAAUUUCAAUGAUCACAACUUCAGAGACGAUUUAAUUUGACCCUGACAUAGUCAUUAGUGAUGGGGACAACCCACUUGUGCAAUCCUUACAGAUGUCGAGCUGGCAUUGGAUACCCAAUUUUAUAAAUGGAAGAGCCUCCAACCUGAGAAAAUCUCAGAGGAGUAUAAGGCAUAACCUUGCUUUCAUAAUUCUCAAUGAGACAUACCCUUAGAGAGCAAACAAUCAAUAUAGAGUAAUCGUAUCUCCCAAGUACUCGUAAAU
rnacentral:misc_RNA from 1 species